rnacentral:rRNA from 1 species
GACAGAGGUUGCAAGCGUUGUUCGGUGUCACUGGGCGUAAAGCGCGCGUAGGCGGACUUUUAAGUCGGGGGUGAAAUCCCGGGGCUCAACCCCGGAACUGCCUUCGAUACUGGGAGUCUGGAGUUCGAGAGAGGUGAGUUGAAUUCCGAGUGUAGAGGUGAAAUUCGUAGAUAUUCGGAGGAACACCAGUGGCGAAGGCGGCUCACUGGCUCGAUACUGACGCUGAGGUGCGAAAGCGUGGGGAGCAAACAGG